rnacentral:misc_RNA from 1 species
UCUCCGUAGGUGAACCUGCGGAGGGAUCAUUACAGAGUUCAUGCCCUACCGGGUAGAUCUCCCACCCUAUGUUAUUAUUACUUGGUUGCUUUGGCGGGCCGUUAGGCUCCGGCCCGACUACCGGCCCCGGCUGGUAAGCGCCCGCCAGAGGAACCAAAACCCUGAAUAAUAGUGUCGUCUGAGUACUAUAUAAUAGUUAAAACUUUCAACAACGGAUCUCUUGGUUCUG